rnacentral:lncRNA from 1 species
AUAUCCCCAUAUGUAGCUCUGCUCCAGGUAGAUAGUGCUUGUUUAAGCUUCUUUAACUUGUAGUUAAAAAUGUAGAAAGGGUUAACACUAAAAUAAGCAUUCCAAUUCUCCUUUACUACAUCUUUGAAGGUUUCAUGCUUUGUCCAGAAGUUAAGAAAUCUGAAUGACUUUUUAAUUGGAGGAGUUUCUAUAUCACAUUUCAGCAGUAUUGGGCAAUGAUCAAACCCAAUUUUGGAUAGGUGAGUUAUAUCCAAUCUAGGAAAUGUCUGUUGCAAUUCAUUAUUGCCAAAACAUCUGUCCAAUCUUUUAAAAAUGUAGUCCUCCUCUGAUCUUCCAUUCCACCAUGUAAAUAUGCUUCCUUUAAAACCCAAGUCUGUCAAAUUGCAGGUAUUGAUGCAGUGUCUGAAGUCAUCUGCUUCAAUGAGAGAAACUAGCAAGCCCCCAUAUUUCUCUUCCUCAUCCCAUAUCACAUUAAAGUCGCCUCCAACUAGCCAAGGUACUGUCAUAUCUGAUGCCAUUGCAUACAACGUAUCCCAUAGUUCUAUUCUUUCAGUGCGGUCACAUUUGGCAUAGACUAGUAUAAGGAUGAGCUCAACAUGUGUUUCGAAGUACAUUAAUCUCAAAGUCAGCUGUUGAGUCAUAUUAUAUAAAAUAGUAACCUCAAAAAUUUCAUCAAUAAAAGCCCAAAUCUUGUUUGACACAUUCACCACAGCCUGUCCCAAACCAAUUCUUGCUCUAUACCUCUCCAUUUUGUGAGACUGUUGCAUAGGCUUAAGGAUGCCUAUGAACUCAAAAUGAUGUUUUCUAUGCAUUGCAAUCAGCCUUUCAAAUGCUUGCAUUGUGUUUACUGAACUGACAUUCCAUAUAAUGGCAUCCAUUAAAUGUUUUGAGAUUUGGACAGUGUUCUCCUUGUUUGUACUCCACUAACUGGGACAGUAGAAGUCACUUUUGACUAUUUCUUUUUUCCCUUUGAUGCAAAUUUAACUAGUUCAAUAAGCCUUGGUGACAGAUCUCCCUGCUUGGCAACAUUAAGGAAAUUUUGUGCAGUGGAUUCCUCAUCCAUGUCUCUACCUUUAAGUUCUGCAUGGUGAACUUGAUCAUGUGCUUCUACUGCUUCUUUUGAUGUAACAAUAUCCUCUGCCUGGUUGAUAAGUUCGACAUCUUUUUCAGCAUGUUCAUUGGUCAACAAUAUUGUAUUGUUCAAUGGAACGUUACUUCCUGCUACAUCCUGCACGGUGCUUAAUGGAACAAUACUUCUUGCAUAAACCUGCACUGUCAUAGCUUGGUUCUUGUCUGCAUUCUUGUCUUGUUUCUUGUCUGCAUUUUCAGCUUCUUUCAGGACAUCACUAACAGCCUUAUGUGAAGUCCCUCCUGGAUCUAUAAUAUUAAUGUUCCCCUCUUUUGUCUUUUCUGUUGCUGCAUUUGUGCAUUCACUGAUUCUUUGAAUAUUGAUUGCAUUGGCAUUACCAUUAACACUUUGAUCCUCAUCUUCCACUUCAUUUCCUCCAAAUUCUUCAUCACUAUGCAUUGUAUCUGGAAUCUGACCAUCUGCUAAGUCUUCCUCUAUUUGGUUGAGCCAUAAUCUCCCUCCUGCCCAUUUUUCUUUUUCAUUGGUCCUGAAUUUCUCAAAAGCUGUAUCUUCAACAAAAUCAUUUUCUUUGUUGUUUGUUAAUUGUUGUUCAACUUUGGUGUCCUGUGAAGGAAUGUCUUGACAUGAAGUAUUGACUUGAACUACAUUAUUUUUGAAUGCCAUUUGGACCCAGUGGGCAGUUGACUCAUUGCGCAAAUGUUGUUCCUUCCCCAAACCUUUUUGUACACAAUCAGCUGUUGAUUCCCUAUUUGCUGCAUGAUUUCUUAUUACUGUAGGAUUGAAAGUAGG